rnacentral:rRNA from 1 species
GAUCCCGCAACCCCGCGUGAGUGAAGAAGGCUUUCGGGUUGUAAAACUUUUUUGUCCGGGAAGAAAUCUUCCAGUAUAAAACGGCUGCACGAUGACGGUACCUUAAGAAAAAGCCCCGGCUAACUACGUGCCAGCAGCCGCGGUAAUACGUAGGGGGCCAGCGUUAUUCGGAAUUUUUGGGCGUAAAGCGCGCGCAGGCGGUUUUUAAGUCUGAUGUGAAAACCCACGGCUCAACCUGGGAGGGUCAUUGGAAACAGGGAGACUUGAGUGCAGAAGAGGAAAAUGGAAUUCCAAGUGUAGCGGUGAAAAGCGUAAAGAUGUU